GGCUGCUCUGGAACCGAACGUCUUCGUAGAUACCAUGGUCUGCAAAAUUAUGUCGCCGGGUGUAGAUGUAGCGCAAACAUGGCCAGCUCGGUUUCUGGGAGAGCUCAACGACGGAAGUCAUGGAUUCUGACAGCGAGUACACCGUAGCCAUGGGUCUCCGCAUGACAAAACAGAUGGGCCGGACGUCGAGUGAGCCGACAUCACUGACCCAAACGAUCAACAAUACUUCAUGGUUUCUUAAGCGCCCCGCCCGCCGGCGCACAAUGUGACCACUCGGAUUGGCCGGCAUGGACCUGUACCCUGGCCUGCAAGGUAUAGCAGCGAAGCUACCGCACGGGACGCCCUAAAGGCAGAAAUAAGCAGAGCCUGCCGCGACAUCCCAACGUCGUUGGUCAAAGCUGCAACAGCACAAGUGUCGGAAAGAAGGAAGUACUGUUUUACCCCAGACGGUGACCUGUUUGAGCACGUGCUAUAAGUAUCAGUGGAAAAUAACCGCUCAAAACUGGUGUAAAACAUGACUGCUUAACGCACCUUCAUUAUGUCACCCUAUCCUUACAUAAAAAAAUGCUGGCCACAAAGAUAGAAAUAGGAAAAAAGAACUGCUGUGUUUUGCCUCUUUUCUGAAGUUUAAGAGACAGAAAGGGUAAAUGGCUAAACCAGUUGUACCUUAACACGUUUCUUAUUGGGCGGCCAAGAUGCCUUACGUGAUAUUGGUUUUUUUUUAUUGAAAUAAACUCCCGAGUAGCUCUUUUCUGUUCUUCCGAGAACUGCCUUUUUUUUUCUUUUUUUCGUGCUCUUGUGCGUGCUUUUUUUAAAACAUUGCUUGAAUUUCUUUUGUAGCUUUGUUUCAUGAUACGCGAAUGCUAAAGCUAUCCGGAGUGGCUCAUAAUCGAGCACAACAGUUCGGCGUCAGCAGAUGCUGACGCUCAUUGCACCACAGUAGUUAGGUCGUGAAAGCUCUCGAGCCAUUCUAUAGAUGACGAAGCCUUGUUGGAUGCGGCGAUGAACGAAUGCAGUCGUAUUUCUUUCAAAGGUUGCUUGGAUGCGCUUGAGUAGCGGCGCGCGAGAGCGCAUCUAUUGCAUAUUUGGCGUAUUUCGAGGGCUUUUGUUUUUUUCUUGGAAAAAACAAUGAGGCAGACUACAGUACGAAGCAAAUGCUUGAUUAGGAGCUUACUUGAAGUGCCCUACAACUUUGUAAUUGGCAUGUUUGCAAUUCAAGCAAUAAAUAAA